GACAGAGGUCUCGAGCGUUAGGCGGAAUCACUGGGCUUAAAGCGUGUGUAGGCGGACUUGUAAGUACCUUGUGAAAUCCCCACGGCUCAACCGUGGAACUGCUUGGUAUACUGCUUGUCUUGGGCCACUUAGGGGUUACCGGAACAAACGGUGGAGCGGUGAAAUGCGUAGAUAUCGUUUGGAACGCCAAUGGUGAAAACAGGUAAACUGGGGAGUGUGCCGACGCUGAGACACGAAAAGCCAGGGGGAGCGAACGGGG
rnacentral:rRNA from 1 species